rnacentral:rRNA from 1 species
CCAAUAGCGUAUAUUAAAGUUGUUGCAGUUAAAAAGCUCGUAGUUGAACUUCGGGGUUUACCCAUUGGUCAGGCUUAAUUGUCUGCACUGGUGAGAUGAAUCUCUACCUUCUGAGGAACUUUCAUGCCAUUUAUUUGGUGUGAUGGGAAAUCAGGACUGUUACUUUGAAAAAAUUAGAGUGUUUAAAGCAGGCUAACGUCUGAAUACAUUAGCAUGGAAUAAUGAAAUAGGACGGACUGAUUCUAUUUCGUUGGUUUCUAGGAUCGCCGUAAUGAUUAAUAGGGAUAGUUGGGGGCAUUAGUAUUCAAUUGUCAGAGGUGAAAUUCUUGGAUUUAUUGAAGACUAACUACUGCGAAAGCAUUUGCCAAGGAUGUUUUCAUUAAUCAAGAACGAAAGUUAGGGGAUCGAAGACGAUCAGAUACCGUCGUAGUCUUAACCAUAAACUAUGCCGACUAGGGAUCGGACGAAGUUAAUUUUAUAAUGACGCGUUCGGCACCUUACG